rnacentral:rRNA from 1 species
UGAAGCUGGAAUUGCUAGUAAUGGCAGGUCAGCAUACUGCCGUGAAUACGUUCCCGGGCCUUGUACACACCGCCCGUCACACCAUGAGAGUUGGGAAUACCCGAAGCCUGUGAGCUAACAUUUAUGAGGCAGCAGUCGAAGGUAGAAUCAAUGAUUGGGGUGAAGUCGUAACAAGGUAAC